rnacentral:tRNA from 7 species
GGGCCCAUAGCUCAGUUGGUCAGAGCGGUCGGCUCAUAACCGAUUGGUCCUAGGUUCGAGUCCUAGUGGGCCCACCA